GGACAGGUAGCUCAGUUGGUUAGAGCACCCUUCUAGAAUAUGGGAGGUCGUGGGUUCAAUCACUGGCCAGUCCA
rnacentral:tRNA from 1 species